AAACUUGCCCCAAAGGGGAGAUACUAUGGUCACCAAGGUGUUUUUCCUGGGGUGCAGCUCCUCCACUGCACUCCACAAAAGCUGACCCUUACAGUUUUCCUAAAUUCAGAAAAUUGCAUAACUUAUAGCAGUGGGGGGCUGCAUUCUCAAUUCCCCCU